CCAAAUCACGUCAAAACACCGUUUUUCCAUGCAAUCACCGAAGUUAAGCAACGUCGAUCCUGGUCAGUACCUAGAUGAGUGACCGCUUGGGAAUACCAGGUGCUGUAAG